rnacentral:rRNA from 1 species
UGGCCUACUAACUAGUGGCUGGAUCGGCUUCGGCCUGUCCAGUGUCACACUUCUUAGAGGGACAAGCAGUGUUCAGCUGCAUGAAAAAGAGCAAUAACAGGUCUGUGAUGCCCUUAGAUGUCCGGGGCUGCACGCGCGCUACACUGAAGGAAUCAGCGUGUGGGACUGCCUGGCUUGAAAGAGUUGGGUAAUCCGGUGAAAAUCCUUCGUGAUUGGGAUCGGGACUUGCAAUUAUUUCCCUUGAACGAGGAAUCCCUAGUAAGUACGGGUCAUCAGCUCGUGCUGAUUACGUCCCUG